rnacentral:lncRNA from 1 species
AUGAAGCCUUACCAAGAGAUAGUUGCAUAUUUCUUCUUUCUCCCUCUUGAUGAUCAUGAGGCCAUGCUCAUAAUUAAAUGGUUGUUGACAUUAGGUGAUAUUUUUGGAAUUUUAUGCAAUUAAUUAUGAAAUUUUACAGUAAGGAGAAACAGGUGAUACUGAACGGGAAACGUGGGGGCGACGUAACGACGAUUUGCACACAACAAAUGGAGAAGAUUUUG